GCCGCACUAGAGAAAUGGUUAACUCGUCGGUCUCCUAUUGCAAUGAGUCAAUAAACCGAAGAUUCCCGGUUCGAGUCCGGGGUGUGGUG